CAGAGGUCCCGAGCGUUGUUCGGAUUCACUGGGCGUAAAGGGUGCGUAGGUGGUGUGGCAAGUUUGAUGUGAGAUCUCCGGGCUUAACCCGGAAAAUGCAUUGAAUACUGCCAGGCUGGAGGGUUGGAGGGGGGACUGGAAUUCUCGGUGUAGCAGUGAAAUGCGUAGAUAUCGAGAGGAACACCAGUGGCGAAGGCGAGUCCCUGGACAACACCUGACACUGAGGCACGAAAGCUAGGGGAGCAAACAGGAUUAGAUACCCUGGUAGUCCUAGCCCUAAACGGUGCACGUUUGCUGUAAGAGGAAUCGACCCCUUUUGUGGCGAAGCUAACGCGAUAAACGUGCCGCCUGGGGAGUACGGUCGCAAGAUUA
rnacentral:rRNA from 1 species